rnacentral:rRNA from 1 species
GACGAACGCUGGCGGCGUGCUUAACACAUGCAAGUCGAACGGAAAGGCCCUGCUUUUGUGGGGUGCUCGAGUGGCGAACGGGUGAGUAACACGUGAGUAACCUGCCCUUGACUUUGGGAUAACUUCAGGAAACUGGGGCUCAUACCGGAUAGGAUCUCCUGCUGCAUGGUGGGGGUUGGAAAGUUUCGGCGGUUGGGGAUGGACUCGCGGCUUAUCAGCUUGUUGGUGGGGUAGUGGCUUACCAAGGCUUUGACGGGUAGCCGGCCUGAGAGGGUGACCGGCCACAUUGGGACUGAGAUACGGCCCAGAAGCCAACGGGAGGCAGAGGUGGAGAGUAUUACACAAUGGGCGGAAGCGUGAUGCAGCAACGCCGGGUUCGGGAUGACGGCCUACGGGUGGUAAACAGCUGUCGCAUGUGACGAAGCGUGAGUGACGGUAAUGGGUAAAGAAGCACCGGCUAACUACGUG